AACGAACGCUGGCGGCAUGCCUAACACAUGCAAGUCGAACGAGACCUUCGGGUCUAGUGGCGCACGGGUGCGUAACGCGUGGGAACCUGCCCUUAGGUUCGGAAUAACUCCCCGAAAGGGGUGCUAAUACCGGAUAAUGUCUUCGGACCAAAGAUUUAUCGCCUUUGGAUGGGCCCGCGUUGGAUUAGCUAGUUGGUAGGGUAAAAGCCUACCAAGGCGACGAUCCAUAGCUGGUCUGAGAGGAUGAUCAGCCACACUGGGACUGAGACACGGCCCAGACUCCUACGGGAGGCAGCAGUGGGGAAUAUUGUACAAUGGGCGAAAGCCUGAUCCAGCAAUGCCGCGUGAGUGAUGAAGGCCUUAGGGUUGUAAAGCUCUUUUACCCGCGAUGAUAAUGACAGUACCGGGAGAAUAAGCCCCGGCUAACUCCGUG
rnacentral:rRNA from 1 species